AAAUGCGAUAAGUAAUGUGAAUUGCAGAAUUCAGUGAAUCAUCGAAUCUUUGAACGCACAUUGCGCCCGCCAGUAUUCUGGCGGGCAUGCCUGUCCGAGCGUCAUUUUAACCAUCAAGCCCCCGGGCUUGUGUUGGGGACCUGCGGCUGCCCGCAGGCCCUGAAAACCAGUGGCGGGCUCGCUGUCACACCGAGCGUAGUAGCAAUCACCUCGCUCAGGGCGUGCUGCGGGUUCCGGCCGUUAAACAGCCUUACAAAACCCAAGGUUGACCUCGGAUCAGGUAGGAAGACCCGCUGAACUUAAGC
rnacentral:misc_RNA from 1 species